AUGAAGGUUUUUACUUUAGGAGCUGUCAAUAACAAGCCUCUUUCUGCUUUAUCUCCAGCAUCGGGCACUGGCCAAGAUGAUGUCGGUGGUCACUCAGGAUACUCCCCAGACCACUGCUCCACACUGGGAAGGCUUGAUAGCUAUCGGUCUGUGGGGCUGCGCUCAGAAACCAGGGACUCCAGCUGUCAGACUGAGGAAGUGAAAGUUGUACCGCCUUCCAUGAGAAGAAUCCGGGCACAGAAGGGUCAAGGCAUUGCUGCCCAGAUGAGCCACUUCUCAGGCUCCUCUGGGAACAUGUCUGUGUUGAGCGAUUCUGCGGGCAUUGUGUUUCCUUCUCGCCUCAGCAGCAAUGCUGGUUUCCACAGUCUCCCACGUUCUGGGGCGAGGGCGAGUGUUCAGUCCCUUGAGCCACGCCUGGGUGCCCUGGGCCCCGCAGAAGACCUGGAUGGCACUUACCCCUACCAGAGCGGUCACAACCCACAAGGAGAUGAAAAUUUAGGAGGUGCCUCAAGGACUGGAAUGCUUUUGAGGCCCAAGUCCCAGGAGCUGAGGCAUUUUGAGAAUGUCAUCAGCCCGGCAUGUGUGGUCUCUCCUCACGCCACCUACUCCACCAGCAUCAUCCCAAAUGCCACACUCUCUUCCUCUUCGGAGAUUAUUAUUAUUCACACUGCUCAGAGUUCAGGACCACUGGACAGUAAAAUUACCAGCUCCUCUUCAUACACAAAGAUCAAAUCCAGGGACCACCUCCUCUCCAGGCAUGCUAGUAAAGAGGAUCAUCAGUCUCCCAGUGGGAACUGGAUGGAGGGUCACCCCAGCAUUCUUUCACAGGCCUUAGAUAAUUCCCAUUCCCCCGCUGCAACCACGCUGUUGUCCCUCUGUGACUCAGCGGUCUCUCUAAAUACUCUAGCACAUCGGGAGAAUGGAUCCCAAGCCAUGAGCUAUAACUGUAAAAACAACCUGAGCUCUCCAGCCCACACCCAGGAUGUUGAUGGCAAGAGUGAGUCCAGUUAUUCUGGAGGCACGGGGCCUGGCAGCUCAGAGCCCUGGGAAUACAGUGCCCCCGGUAACGGGCAGGCAUCCCCACUGAAGGCACAUGUGGCAGCUCCUGGCUACUCCACUCCCGGAAGUAAUGUGAGCAGUUGCAGUUUGGACCAAACUUCCACCAAAGAUGAUGCCAGGUCCCUGUAUUCAGAGGAGCACGAUGGCUACUACACGUCUAUGCACCCCGACCCGGAACACGGAUCUGGAAACCAGUACGGUAGCGAUGACUUUGGGAACCCCAGGCACAGUGUGGUCAAUGUUUUUGAUGGAAGAGCUCAGAAGAACCAAGGGGACCGGUCACACCACCAUGACAAGUCCCUUUCGCGAAACAUCUCUUUGAAGAAAGCGAAGAAGCCUCCUCUGCCACCCUCUCGGACGGACUCCCUGCGCAGGAUUCCCAAGAAGGGCGUCCAGUCGAACGGGCAGGCGCUGAACGAGAGUCUGAUCGCCUCGCUCCAGCACUCGCUGCAGCUGAACCUCCCGGGCAAGGGCGGCAGCUCGCCCUCCCAGAGCCCCUGCAGUGACUUCGAAGAGCCCUGGCUGCCUCGCUCCCGCAGCCAGAGCACGGUGAGCGCGGGCAGCAGCAUGACCUCGGCCACCACCCCCAACGUCUACGCCCUGUGCGGAGCCACGCCGGCGCAGAGCGACACGAGCAGCGUCAAGUCCGAGUACACGGACCCUUGGGGUUACUACAUUGACUACACCGGCAUGCAGGAAGACCCCGGGACUGCCGGCGGGGGCUGCUCGGCAGGCAGCGGCGCGCCGGCGGGGAACGGGCCAGUCCACCACGUCCAGGAGGGAGCCAGGACCGUGAUGCCCCAGGUGCCUGGUGGCUCCGUCAAACCAAAGAUCACAUCGCCGGAGAAGCCCCACAGAGUCACUUCUCCGUCCAGUGGGUAUUCCAGCCAGUCGAAUACACCCACAGCACUCACCCCUGUGCCUGUGUUUUUAAAAUCAGCGUCACCAGCGAACGGGAAGGGGAAGACCAAGCCCAAGGUGCCAGAAAGGAAGUCCUCUCUGCUAUCUUCAGUAUCCAUCUCCUCCUCGUCCACGUCUCUGUCUUCCAAUACUUCCACGGAAGGAAGCGGGACCGUGAAGAAGCUGGAUUCGGUGCUGGCCUCUCCCCUUGCUGCUGCCCCUUUCCCUUCUCUUCCCUCACCAUGUCCUGCCGACAGGUCUCCUUUCCUUCCUCCUCCCCCACCUUUAGUAGAGUCCCCUGACGGCUCUCUGCCUCGGUCUCCCCUCUUCCCCCCUCCACCGCCAGAAGUUCUCACCCCCUUCUCUCCCCCCACCAGCGCAUGCUUUCCUCCUCCCCCCAUGGCACCUAGCCCCCUUACUCUGGGUGCACCUUCUUCCCUGCCGCCCGCCCCCGCUUUCGGACCCUCCUCAGCUCCCCCGCCUGCCCCACCCCUUGACCCCAAAUGGAUGAAAGAUGCCAGGCCUUCUUUUAAAAUAUCUGGCCAGCCAGAUUGCUCCUGGGAGGGCUUUCGGCAGCCUUCUAGCAAGGAGGAGGGCAGCAGACCCCCCAUGCCCCUGAUAACCACAGAAGCAUUGCAGAUGGUACAGUUGAGGCCCGUGAAAAAGAACUCAGGAACCGAGCAAGCACUGUUACAUGAACAAGUAUCUCAGGAAAAACUAACUCCGGUUGUUCCCCAGUAUCAUUUAAAGCCAUCUGCUUUCUUGAAAUCCCGAAAUAGCAUAAAUGAAAUGGAGAGUGAAAGCCAGCCUGCCUCUGUGACAAGCUCGCCGCCGACUCCUGCCAAGAGCUCGAGUCAGGGUCACCAGGACGGUGCAGCCGAGCGCGGCCUCCCGAGCCGCAGCCUGGGCAGCGCCGGGGAGGCAGAGACUGGGCCCGGCCCCAGGGCCGCCCCGCGCCAGGAGCCCCCCGGCCCUUCACCCAGCAGGAAGCCACCCCCCAUUUCCAAGAAGCCCAGACUGUUCCUCGUGGUGCCACCUCCACAGAGAGACUUCACAACGGAGAACGUGAGCGGAGCAUCACCUAGCCCCACGAGGGGAGAGGCAACAGAGAGUUGUAGAGCCGGGGCUGGUGCUGAGGAGACGGGCUCUGGCAGCUCAGUUCUUGAGGGAGGAGCCGCAGGAUCUGCAUCCCCGGGUAGAGUGAAAGCCAAUGUCCCCAUGGUGCAGCCCGAUGCAGCACCAGCCCCCUCUCAGGAGGAGCCAGGUGCCGGGAACAGUGCAGAUGGUGGGGGCAACGUGGAGAGCUGCCUGUCGCUACAGGACGGAGGGCGUGAGUAUGCUUUUCUCUCAUUCCCCUCCGACCAUAUGCAGCAAGGCACAAGAGAGGGCUAGCGCGUGCUCCCGGGAAAGCCAGCAGCAUGUGGGCUGCCCGUGUGCCUCACACUUGGGUUACCGAC